GCUCAGAUAGCUCAGCUGGUAGAGCAUGAGACUCUUAAUCUCAUGGGUUGUGGGUUCGAGCCCCACAUUGGGCG